rnacentral:rRNA from 1 species
CCUACGUGUGGCAGCAGUGAGGAAUAUUGGUCAAUGGACGCAAGUCUGAACCAGCCAUGCCGCGUGCAGGAAGACGGCCCUAUGGGUUGUAAACUGCUUUUGUACGAGGGUAAACGCAGAUACGCGUACCUUUCUGCAAGUACCGUACGAAUAAGGAUCGGCUAACUCCGUGCCAGCAGCCGCGGUAAUACGGAGGAUUCAAGCGUUAUCCGGAUUUAUUGGGUUUAAAGGGUGCGUAGGCGGUCGGAUAAGUUAGGGGUGAAAUCCCGAGGCUCAACUUCGGAAUUGCCUGUGAUACUGUUAGGCUAGAGAGUAGUUGCGGUAGGCGGAAUGUAUGGUGUAGCGGUGAAAUGCUUAGAGAUCAUACAGAACACCGAUUGCGAAGGCAGCUUACCAAGCUACGUCUGACGUUGAGGCACGAAAGCGUGGGGAGCAAACAGGAUUAGAUACCCGUGUAGUC